GUUAUAGGGUCAAGCGAACAAGUGCAUGUGGUGGAUGCCUUGGCGAUCACAGGCGAUGAAGGACGCGGUAGCCUGCGAAAAGCUGCGGGGAGCUGGCAAACGAGCUUUGAUCCGCA
rnacentral:rRNA from 1 species